AUUGAACGCUGGCGGCAUGCCUUACACAUGCAAGUCGAACGGCAGCGCGGACUUCGGUCUGGCGGCGAGUGGCGAACGGGUGAGUAAUACAUCGGAACGUACCCUGUUGUGGGGGAUAACUAGUCGAAAGAUUAGCUAAUACCGCAUACGACCUGAGGGUGAAAGUGGGGGACCGGAAACGGCCUCAUGCAGCAGGAGCGGCCGAUGUCUGAUUAGCUAGUUGGUGGGGUAAAGGCCCACCAAGGCGACGAUCAGUAGCUGGUCUGAGAGGACGAUCAGCCACACUGGGACUGAGACACGGCCCAGACUCCUACGGGAGGCAGCAGUGGGGAAUUUUGGACAAUGGGGGCAACCCUGAUCCAGCAAUGCCGCGUGUGUGAAGAAGGCCUUCGGGUUGUAAAGCACUUUUGUCCGGAAAGAAAGCGCCCUGGCUAAUACCUGGGGUGGAUGACGGUACCGGAAGAAUAAGCACCGGCUAACUACGUG
rnacentral:rRNA from 1 species